GGUUGAUCCUGCCAGUAGUCAUAUGCUUGUCUCAAAGAUUAAGCCAUGCAUGUCUAAGUAUAAGCUUGUUUAUACGGCGAGACUGCGGAUGGCUCAUUAAAUCAGUUAUAGUUUAUUUGAUGGUCUAGUAAUCGUAAAACAAUUACCCUACUUGGAUAACCGUGGUAAUUCUAGAGCUAAUACAUGCGCAAGGUCCCGAGCGCGGGGCCGGGUCGGGUCAAACCGGUCCGGUCCGCAUGUGCAGAGGGAUGUAUUUAUUAGGUUAAAAACCAGCACAUUCAAUCAAUCGA
rnacentral:rRNA from 1 species